UAUUGAUAAUUUUUGGUGUGUUUCGACUGUUGCUUUGGAGUCGUAAUAUAUGUACGUAUGGACGUAUAUUAUAGGGUCCCUACAGGGCAAGCUUUUAUCUCCUUGCAGACAUCUGCUAGGGCGCCCAGCCCUGUGUUAACACAGCAUUCACCAGGUCUGCAGAUCCCUACCUCCCACCUUUAGACAGCGCCCUGCUCUUUGGGAUGUACAGGAGGCUUUUUGCUUAAGGUUGUUUUGUUGAAGUGUUUCCAUGACACAGCCCUGAGCUCUGCUCUCAGUGUGACUAAAUGCAAACAAGGGGAGGAGAUGGGCUGGGGAUAAACCCUUGUCUCUGCAUCUCUCUGCAAGCUGUGAGCAUUGACGUCAGCCGAGCAGCGCCGCUCCCCAUCUGCCCAGGAUCCAGCCUAUUAGAGGGGCAGCAAUGGGUAAAAAUGAAUUCCUGGAGAAGACAGAACCUUCUGCAAAUGUGUGCAGAUGAACCUGGGGAUCUCUCUCCUGCCUGUGACAGUAGCAUCUCCAACCGCGUGCUCCUGUUGUGUCCCAUUAUCUCCUGUUUCCUUAACCUAGAGCUCUCUCUUUUCUUUUUCCUGAGUGCAGCAGGCACCUCAAUCAUCUGUUACGUGGCUUUGAUCCAGCAAUUGGAGACGUGCUGUGGAGUAAUCCUCAGAAAACCUGGGGUAAUGGGAUGGGGAGAGGACACAGUGCUACAUUAAUAUUACAUAUUAAUAUUACUACGUGUGAUCUCCACUUUCCUUUCACAUUUGAGGGCCCAACCAACCAACACAAAGCAACAGUUGAAGAAGUAGAAAAGGUGCACUUUGGAAACAUCAUUAAUGGCACGGGAAGGCUUGUGGGCCGGUGUAUGAGGCCAGGAGGAGAUGGCACAAAGGGAGAUCCCAUGAGCAGCUGAGAGAAUUCGGACAGAUGUGUGAAGCUGAGGUGGGUGCGUUCCUCCCUGACCCAUGCUGUAUCCUUUAAGCCAUCUCAACUGCUCCUUAGAAGCAGUGAUCAUUAAACAUUUGCCAAGUUGAUUUUGCUCUGCAUCUCUGAAUGUGAAGGAGCUGAACAGCAAGAUCAUCAAAGCAAUUGUAACGUUUAUGGCCUCUCAAUUCUCCAGGAGUAUAUGGAGGUACAGACACAGUGCUAUUACCUUGGGGAAACCAUUAAAGGUUGCUUCGUGCUAUGCUAAGGACUUUUAUUCAUCAAGAGUAAUUACCUCUAUCUUGAUAAGAAGUGAGAAGAUGACAGUAAGAACUACUGCGUCACCAAUCUCCAAGUAAUGCUCGUAGAGAGGUGAUGGUGGCAGCAGCAUCACUACCUCAGCUGGAAUGAGAGCUCCAGAAUUAUUGUGGGCAUAUCCCAAGGUUUCAGCUAGCAAGAACCCUGGUGGUUCUACCUGGCAUUGUCUACUCCAUUGGACUCCCAGAAGCUGCUCUGCCAUCUGUCCGUACCCUGAAUAUCAUCAGCCUGUUAUAAGCACAAGUCAGAGCGACUACAAAGAAGGAACGAAGGAAGAAAUGCAUCUGGGCUUGUAUCCAAUUGGAUUACUGUCAACCUCAUCCAGCUGAGAAGGGAAAAGACAGAUGUACUCAUGGUCACCGAAAUGAGAUGGAACAAAAGACAACAACCUGAGCAGAGACGAAAAGCAGUCAAGACCAAAGGUUUCUUCGACUCCAAACCACAGCCACGUCUCCAUCAUACAGACCAUCCUUUGCAACUUCAGCUUGUGUCAAACAUCCCCUUUGGCAAAACAGCUCUUGCAAUGGAGCUAUCUCCACGUGUCUGCCUUCCACCACCCACGAGACACUGACCUCCAUCGGUCCCCAGCCCUGCCCCGCACUGAUGAGUGCAGAGAUGCUAUGGUAUGAAGCGCAGAUAUCUAGCACCAAGAUUGGACAUCUUUCUUGCCUGCUCUUCCAAAUGUGCUUUCCUGGGGUCCAGGAGUCAGGAUUGACAACUUAUGGAAAGUGUAAAUCUCCCUCUGGUGUUCUAUGUACAGCUUCCUCACUGUGGGAAUCAACCAAGGAUUGACAUUGACCAUCCUCCUCAUUGUGGAAGUCAACCAAGAAUUUACACUGGCCAUCAUCCCCACUGUGGGAGUCAACCAAGGAUUGACAAUGACCAUCUUCCUCACUGUGGGAAUCAACCGAGGGUUGACACUGGACUUCCUCCUCACCAUCGGAAUCAAUCAAGGAUUAAAAUUGGCCAUCAUCUUCAUCAUGGGAGUCGACUAAGGACUGACACUGACCAUCCUCCUCACCAUGGGAAUCAACGAAGGAUUGACAUUGGCCAUCCCACAGGAAGAGUCCUUGAUGAAAUCUCAUCACUCAGUGCCCCUUGGUACGAGUGUGGGCUGGAGCAGAGCUGGCAGAGGCCAGGAGGGGACUGGAGCUGCUAAGAAGCAAGCAAUUGCAUGGAUGAGGUGCUGGGCAAACCCAUGGGUUCCCAUGGUCUUCAGUGGAGCCCAUUGGAGCAGUCUGGGCUGUAGCAGAAGGACCUAUUCCCAUUCUCUGCUGCACUGCAAAGAUCGAGCUGGCAUGGUUUAUCUCAGUGCAGAAACAGCUGGCAGAUAGACAUGGACCCAACUGUUUAGAUGGGAAUGCCUUGCUGUCAGGUCGUGUUACUGGUUCAAACAGAAAGGCACUGCGCAGCCAGAGCCAGGCAUAUAUAACUGACAAAAAAAAGAAGGUGAAAGCUGCUCUGGGCUCAUCAAUAACCUUCCGCACAUCCUUGCCUGUGCUCUGAGUUGAGAAAACACAGCAAUGAUCAGCACUCGGGUCAGGAUUUCGUGAGCUGUCCAAGGAGAAUUUACUCUAGCUCCUUCCUGACAGGAGACAGAGGUAUAAAAAACAAUGCAGUGACUUCUGUUCAAGCAAUAGCUGUGUAAAAUAUUGUUCAUCAGAGCUGUAAAGGUUAGCUCAGCAGAGAAAUAAGGUCUGCAGCUUUUGGCUUUGUAUCCCUUUGGGCAAUCCAUUUGUGAGUUUGUUGAAGGCAAGGAGAAAGAUCCAGUGAUUGGAAAGGGGCUGCACUCACCCCGGCUCAGUCUCUGAAUUAAGCAUCUUCUAUUUUUCCAUUGGCUUUGGAGUGCUUCCAGUCAAUACAGGUCUCACUCGCAGCAUCUCCCCUCACUGGAAGCUCAGCACGGCGUCAGCAUCAACCAAUUCAAGCUAUCCACAAGCAGAGGGGUGAGUGGUUCCCAUAGAACUGGCUCAGCCACGCUUGGUAUUCAGACUCACACAAAGGGUUGGAGAGAAAACAUUGCUUUUUCAGCAUGUCCAGUCUGAUGGCCUACCUCAUCAUCCACCUGAACACAGAAAUGUUCCCGUUUCAAUUGGAGGUCACUUGGAACAGACACAACCCCAUGGGAAGCAUAGCUCCAGCAUCACCUCCUCCCUUGGACAAGGUGACCAAGGGGCCUUCCAGGGGAUCUCAGCUCACUUCCAGGCUCAGGGCCUACCUCUGCUGACCCUUUGCUUCCUCCCACCUCUCGCGGUGUGUACGUGCCAUCUGCUGGCAAGCUGCAGGAAGGAGAAUGCGCUCAAAACGCCUUUUGCUACGACAGAGCAAAGCAGAGGGGUUGGAGGAGCAGCCAGGUUAAAUUUGGCCAUAUGCACCAAACCUGCACAGCCUACAUCUCAUCUCCCAUCAUAAGAGUUAGUUCCUUACCAGCACGGCUGGUGGUCAACACAUUGCCAUGAGGCUGUUUUCUGCUGGAAGCAGCGAUUUCCCUCUGUUGAGCAUUCUGAUUUCUUGUUGUGAGAGCAGAAAACUCAGAAGCUGCAAGGUCCAGCGUUCAAAACUGCCCUUGUCUUUCAGUUGUGGUUUUAUCCACCUCGUAUUUUCCCAUUCUUUCCUCAUUUCCCCCUUCGCCACUCCCCAUUCCUGCAGUGCAGUGCGGUGAUGGUUCCAUCCAAAAUGAUGCAUGUAGAUUUACAUGCGUUGGGUGUUUUUUUUUUUAGUGCACAAAGUUGGUUGGCAGCACCCAAGUGUGAGCUGCCUUUCUGAAGAUGCAGCAAGAGAAAACAGAGCGAAAUGCAGGAGAUGAUUUUCCAUUUGGUUUCGAGCAGGGAGAAGGCACAUAAAGAGACCCCCACAUAGAGCAGCCGUGCAAGGCCAUGCAUCACUUAUGCCUUACUUGAAGGUAUUAAAUAAGACUUCACUAGAACACAGCUCUGGUGCUGACCCUCUGCAGAUGGGUGAAUUGCACCCUAAAGCAAAUAUAGGGAACUUGUAUUAUUCAACAGCUGCUGCUAAUAGGGUUACUGCAGGCGGAGAUGUUGCCUGUCUCGACUGAGGAGCAGACGCUGGCCUCGGUGACUCCUGUUUGCAUAAUUAUACUGUAAAUUCUGUCCCGCUGUGUCUGUAUAAUUACGUUUUUAAAUAAGAAAAAAAAGUAUUUA